rnacentral:rRNA from 1 species
GAACGCUGGCGGCAUGCCUUACACAUGCAAGUCGAACGGCAGCACGGGGGCAACCCUGGUGGCGAGUGGCGAACGGGUGAGUAAUGCAUCGGAACGUGCCCAGUAGUGGGGGAUAGCUCGGCGAAAGCCGGAUUAAUACCGCAUACGACCUACGGGUGAAAGCGGGGGACCGCAAGGCCUCGCGCUGUUGGAGCGGCCGAUGUCAGAUUAGGUUGUUGGUGGGGUAAAGGCUCACCAAGCCGACGAUCUGUAGCUGGUCUGAGAGGACGACCAGCCACACUGGGACUGAGACACGGCCCAGACUCCUACGGGAGGCAGCAGUGGGGAAUUUUGGACAAUGGGGGCAACCCUGAUCCAGCCAUGCCGCGUGCGGGAAGAAGGCCUUCGGGUUGUAAACCGCUUUUGUCGGGGAAGAAAUCUUUCGGGCUAAUACCUCGGGAGGAUGACGGUACCCGAAGAAUAAGCACCGGCUAACUACGUGCCAGCAGCCGCGGUAAUACGUAGGGUGCAAGCGUUAAUCGGAAUUACUGGGCGUAAAGCGCGCGCAGGCGGUUAUGCAAGACAGAUGUGAAAUCCCCGGGCUUAACCUGGGAACUGCAUUUGUGACUGCAUAGCUGGAGUACGGCAGAGGGGGAUGGAAUUCCGCGUGUAGCAGUGAAAUGCGUAGAUAUGCGGAGGAACACCGAUGGCGAAGGCAGUCCCCUGGGCCUGUACUGACGCUCAUGCACGAAAGCGUGGGGAGCAAACAGGAUUAGAUACCCUGGUAGUCCACGCCCUAAACGAUGUCAACUGGUUGUUGGGAAGGUUUCUUCUCAGUAACGUAGCUAACGCGUGAAGUUGACCGCCUGGGGAGUACCGCCGCCAGGUUGAAACU